rnacentral:rRNA from 1 species
GAUGAACGCUGGCGGCGUGGAUAAGGCAUGCAAGUCAAACGGCCCUUUCGGGGCAGUGGCAGACGGGGUAGUAACAGGUAGGAAUAUACCCCAGAAGUCAGGAAUAACUCAUCGAAAGAUGAGCUAAUACUUGAUAGUCUCUUCGGAGUAAAGAUUUAUCGCUUCUGGAAUAGCCUGCUUCGUAUCAGCUUGUUGGUAGUGUAAAAGACUACCAAGGCUAUGACGCGUAGGGGAGCUGAGAGGCUGACCCCCACCAUUGGUACUGAGACACUGACCAAACACCUACGGGUGGCUGCAGUCGAGAAUCUUCCGCAAUGGGCGAAAGCCUGACGGAGCGACGCCGCGUGAUUGAUGAAGUCCUUCGGGAUGUAAAAAUCUUUUCUCAAGGAGGAAGUUUAUUGACGUUACUUGAGGAAUAAGAGGUUGCUAAACUCGUGCCAGCAGCAGCGGUAAUACGAGUGCCUCAAGCGUUAUCCGGAAUUAUUGGGCGUAAAGGGUGCGUAGGCUGAUAUGUUAGUCUUUUGUUAAAGCUCUGGGCACAACUCGGAAAAGGCAAGAGAAACGGCAUAUCUAGAGGAUGUGAGAGGUAAGCGGAACUUAUGGUGUAGGGGUGAAAUCCGUUGAUAUCAUAAGGAACACCAAAAGCGAAGGCAGCUUACUAGCACACUCCUGACGCUGAGGCACGAAAGCGUGGGUAGCGAAAGGGAUUAGAUACCCCUGUAGUCCACGCCCUAAACGAUGUUCUCUAGCUUUAGGGGGAAUCGACCCCCUCUGAGGCGUAGCUAACGCGUUAAGAGAACCGCCUGGGUAGUACGGCCGCAAGGCUAAAACUCAAAGGAAUAGACGGGGGCUUGCACAAGCGGUGGAUCAUGUGGCUUAAUUCGUCGAUAAACGAAGAACCUUACCAAGGCUAGAAACUUAUCUGAAAGCUCUAAGAAACUAGAGCCCUCUUCGGACAGAUAAGCAGGUGUUGCAUGGUCGUCGUCAGCUCGUGGUUUGAACUGUUCCCUUAAGUGGGGUAACGAGCGCAACCCCCAUCGUGUGUUACAAGUGUCACGCGAGACUGCCCUCGCUUUAGUUCGCGAACUUAAGUUCGUUAAUUAAAGCGAGGGAGGAAGGUGGGGAUGACGCCAGAUCAGCAUGACCCUUGACGCCUUGGGCUGCACACGUGAUACAAUGGGUAGGACAACGAGGCGCAAUACCGUAAGGUGGAGCAAACCUUUAUAAACCUAUCCCCAGUUCGGAUUGAGGUCUGCAACUCGACCUCAUGAAGUUGGAAUCGCUAGUAAUCGUGGGUCAGCUAUACCACGGUGAAUACGUUCUCAAGCCU